GUUCCUUAAAAAUGCUAUGAUAAAGAGAGCGGAAAAAAGGGAGGAAAUCAAUAGCGUUCUUUUCACUUUCCAUAGCGUGUAAAAGAAGAAGGAAAAAGGGCGCUGAAAUUUUUUGCACUCCCGCACGAUUGAAAUUCAGUUCCCCCUAAAUAUCUGCGAUUUUGUUUCAAGCUCCAACUUGUUUAAUCGAAAAGAGCUCGCCACUCGUCUUCUAUCUCUGGUGUUGGGAAACUUUUCUUGGGCUUCGGAGAAGGCGAUUAGUGAGGCAGUGUAAGCAUAUAUACAGAUCUAUACUCUUGUCCGAUGGGCUUUUGAUGGUUUUUCCGUCAGUGAUGAUGUGGUGGUUUUCGGCAACAGACGCAAUGUAUCUAGUAUACUGUUUCUUCAUAUUCUUUGAUGCUUUGUUUUACACUUCAGUGUGCUUGAUGCUAAUUCAUUCCUUCUUCUUGUUGGGGUUUCUUAUCACAAAAUCGAGCUGCUACUUUUGUGAUGAGUUGAUGACAAAUCUGAUACUUUUUCUUCAUUUUUUCAACCACAUUUUGCAUUCGAUAUUAUGUAGGAGCUUUGAACAACAAAUGGGAAAGAUAUAGAUCCGGUGUGAUUGCCUGUAAUUCAACCUAGUUUAGCUUGACUGAAACAUUGUGUAGAUUUAAAAUAAAAUGUCUGAAUCAUUGUUUGAUCGUAGCUAGUGUAGACUGAAAACUUUUGAAUCAUGGUUUAGGAUAUUGUGAUGGUUUACAGUAAUUGUUGGUUAACUUUUCCCCUUUUUAUGUCUUAGCCACUUUGAACCCUUUUGUAUGUUUAAUUAAUUCGCUCUUAUAAAAAAAUUGAUAAUACACAUGUUCUUUGAUUAGGACAUGUAUUUUAAUUUCGACCGAAGACCUAACUUUUAAUACACAUGUGCUUUGAUUAGGACAUAAUACGAGUUCCUUGCAUGCUUUGGUGGAGAUUCAAGAACCAUAUAAAAGACAUCACCACAACACCAAGAUGGCAAGAAGCUCGCCAUGGCACAAAUGCGACCCUGUGCUGGUGAAAAUGUGCAUCGUUCAAAUGGCAAGGAGGGCUUCCAUAUAGGGUAAUCCUGCUACUUUGUUUUGUCCAGGUAGCAUAGGAUUUCCCUCCAAAGGGAAGGAACCUAAGGUAUACAAAUGAUUAGCCUUUCAUAGGGGUUUUAAUCCAUGUUCGUCAAAAGUUAUCACUGUGAACUUUAUUUGAAUUUUGAUCUGUUGAGUAGAUUUGUUGGAGUUAUUUGGAAACUUAUUGAAGAAUACAAGUCUGCAUCUAACUGUUUUGGCGCAUUUUAGCCAAAAUAUUGAACUUUAAAAAGCCUUGUUCAACUGAUUGCACUAGUAAAUAUGAUGUGAAUUGUGGAGCUUUUUUCCAAUAUGGUUUGAUAGUUUUAGCCUUAGGAGCAUGGGUCCUUUGUCAUCUUUUAAAC